AUUAUCCUUCCUCAGCAUAUUUUCUGCGCCAAAGAUUGUAUGUAUGUAUGUAUGUAUGUAUGUAUGUAUGUAUGUAUGUAUGUAUGUAUGUAUGUAUGGUGUAUCACUGGCAACCUGAUUUCCCAGACAUGUGGGGCCCUCUACUGUCCAUAUUGACAAGGUUCUACUCAGAUACAAGGGAUUCUUUAAGCAGACAAUAUGCAGGAAAAUAACUGACAUACUGAAGGUUGGAGCGAAGUAGAAGGUGCUCAACCAACGUCAGACGAGAUGCAACCAGCAAUCCUAUUGGCUGUCGAGGCGCAACCAGCAAUCCUAUUGGCUGUCGAGGUGCAACCAGCAAUCCUAUUGGCUGUCGAGGUGCAACCAGCAAUCCUAUUGGCCAUCAGGUGAAGGCCAAUGCAUCUCGAUUCUAACGGUCAGCGAGUCUGAAGAAAACGAAUAGUCCACAACGCGGUUGAUUAAAUUAAAAACAUUUUUAAUCAGUAAAAAUCUGUUCAACAUUUCACAUGUAAAACAGCUGCAUCUUCUCUAUACCUGAAUUAACACAGAAAGAUAUUUUUAGCGAUUCUUGUAAAAAUAGAUUAAUUUAACAAAAAUAAACAAAAACAAAAUGCACAUUCUCUAUGGAGAAAUCACUUGGUGCUCCUUGGGGGAAAAAAAAAAAAAAAAAAAAAAAAACCAGGCUUCAGAAGACAGCUUCUCACUACUAAACUCACCUAGGGUUAUGUCCCAAAUGGUACCCUAUUAGCUAGACUAGCACUGCAUAGAGAAUAGGGUGCCAUUUGAGACGUAUUUCUAGUGUUCAUCGGCCCAUUGGGCUUAUUCCAUUUCUUGUUGUUCCAUGUCACCGACUGCCCAUUUGACUUGUAUUUGUGUCUCUCUGUGACGGGGCUGGUCCCUCCUCUCUGACCUCACUGGGUAGAACCUUCUCCCGGAC
ensembl:lncRNA